rnacentral:rRNA from 1 species
CAGUCGCCGCGGUAAUACGAGGGGUGCAAGCGUUAUUCGGAUUGAUUGGGUGUAAAGGGCGUGCAGACGGCUUAUUAAGUCACUGGUUAAAUUCUUCGGCCUAACUGAAGGUCUGCAAGUGAUACUGAUGAGCUAGAGGGUGGAAGAGAGAAGUGGAAUUCUCGGAGUAGCGGUAAAAUGCGUAGAUCUUAAGAGGGACACCAAUGGCGAAGGCAGCUUCUUGGUCCAUUCCUGACGUUCUUACACGAAAGCGUGGGGAGCAAACAGGAUUAGAUACCCCCGUAGUCCCUGUCUCUUAUAC